UUAGCUUAUAAGACAUUUUUCUGUUGAAUUAUAGAAACCCUAGAAAUAAUUUUCGAUGAUUUUUCGAUUUUGAAGAUGUCUCGGUGCUUCCAGUAUCCACCGCCUGGUUAUUCUCCGAAUACAGCAAGCAAUUAUGCCUUGAUCGAAUCGAUUAAGCUCCAGAGGUACGAGGAAAGAGUCAAAUUGGAAAGGAAGAAAGAAAAGAGAAGGAAGAAGAAAGAGAGAUUCAGAAAGAAGGAAAAAAAAGGCGAAGCAAGUAUCAACUUCAAGUUGUUUUCGAACUGGUGAUUUGAUUUCUAGAGGAGAUAAUAGAGAGUCGAAAACAAAGUACUUGCAGAAAGAUAUUGAGGAUGAAAUUGUUGAGCGGUUGGAGAACAGUAGUCUAUCCGAGGAACACGGCAAGCCUGUCUACUCACAAGAUCCAAACUACUCAUCUGACAGCACCCAAAAUAACAACAAAAGAAAGAGAUCUACCUCAUCUUCAAAUGGAAUACAUGACCAUGGUCCUAAUGUCCGCAUUCGAUUGUCCUCACAUAAUCAUGGACAAUGUGAUAUAUCUAUCAAAGAAGACUGUUUCAAAGAAUCUGCUAACUACGAGGUAGAAAGAGCCUCUCCCUUGUCGAAAACCAAGCAGCAAUUGUCCCCUUUCAUGUCAGAGGACAAGACAACAACUGUUUCUUGCUCCAAAUUGCACGGGAACGAUUUAGAACUAGAGUUCAAGAAUUUGAUUAUUAACU